GGUUCUCACAGGCUCGAACAAUGCUGGUUUCAUGAAAUGCAACCGAAGGCUGAACCAAGGCAGUGCAACUUAGAAGCACACACACAAACACCACAGCUGACCAGGAACUUAGUGCAAAGUCUCCAACGCAGUCGGCGGUCCCGGCCCCUCCCUCCCCCGGGGCCGCCGGGGAUCCAGAGGGACUCGGGAGAGCGGAACGUCGGGCUUCCCGGGUCUGACAACUGAUUGGAAUCGGCUUCCCAGGUCCGGCGCCCUCCUGAGCUGCGCCCCCGGCGCGCCCCGGCGGCCAGGGCGCCCUGCCUCGCCCCCGGCUGCCCGGCACCUCCUCCGGGCAGCAGCCCUCCCUCACGUGGUAGGCUCCUCGCUAAACACCACUGCAAUCACUACAAUAAAAAGAAAAAAAGGAGUAGGAGAAACACAAAGCAUACUUAAAUAGGCGCUUUUUCUCUCUGCAAAAAUAAAGUCCAAGAUUUUA
rnacentral:lncRNA from 1 species